GAAUGUUAAAGUUAGUUCCAACUUUCAAAGGGAGAAAAAUUGUAGAUGUUGUGGAAAAGUUUGUCGCUGAGAACUACAAGGUCGAAAAUGGUCAUACUUCAAGGAUUUCCGCAGUUUCUUUGGCUUCACUACUUCUUGAUUUUUCUAUCAUUAUACCGAAGAAUAAAAAUUUUGACUGUGAGCUAAAUUCGAUUGACGGUGACCACGUGUUCAUUAUAUCCGAUGAGGCCUUUGACGUCACCCGUUCUGUUCACUUUUUAAAUUUUUCGAGUUCAACACAUUCAGUAGCCUGUAAUAGCCUUCAAAGCGGAGAUGAGUCGCAAUUGGAUUUUUUCGAAUUUCUUUUAAGUGAACCUCAUGAGUCUCUUCAAACCACUCCACUUUUAAAAUCAUCGAAAAGUUCAUUUAAGUUGGGAGAAGUUAAACUUGAAG